GCCUACGGGGGGCAGCAGUGAGGAAUAUUGGUCAAUGGGCGGGAGCCUGAACCAGCCAAGUCGCGUGAGGGAAGACGGUCCUACGGAUUGUAAACCUCUUUUGCCGGGGAGCAACGGGGUCCUUGCGAGGUCCCAAUGAGAGUACCCGGAGAAAAAGCAUCGGCUAACUCCGUGCCAGCAGCCGCGGUAAUACGGAGGAUGCGAGCGUUAUCCGGAUUUAUUGGGUUUAAAGGGUGCGUAGGCGGUCCGGAAAGUCAGCGGUAAAAGCCCGGGGCUCAACCCCGGCGAGCCGUUGAAACUGUCGG
rnacentral:rRNA from 1 species